UAAAGGUUUGGUCCUAACCUUAAAAUCAAUUUAUACUUAACUUACACAUGCAAGUUUCAGCACCCCUGUGAGAACGCCCUAAAAUCCCCCAUUGGGACAAGGAGCUGGUAUCAGGCACAUCUACUUAGCCCAAAACACCUAGCUAUGCCACAUCCUCAAGGAAUUUCAGCAGUGAUUAAUAUUGGACAUAUGCGACAGCCAGAUUCAGUUAAAGUAUGCAGAGCCGGCAAAAUUGGUGCCAGCCGCCGCGGUUAUACCAAUUGACUCGAAUUGAUUUCAUUCGGCGUAAAGCGUGAUUAAAGCCACCUAAAAUUAAGGUCAAACCCCCACUAAGCUGUGACACGCUUGUGUCUAGGAAGUUCAAAAACGAAAGUUACUUUAAUUUAUUCAACUUGAAUUCACGACAGUUGGGAAACAAACUGGGAUUAGAUACCCCACUAUGCUCAACCGUAAACUUUUAUUUACAACUGUAACGCCAGAGAACUACAAGCAAAGCUUAAAACUCAAAGGACUUGACGGUACCCCAUAUCCACCUAGAGGAGCCUGUUCUAUAAUCGAUAACCCCCGCUUUACCUUACCAUUUUUAGCUUAUCAGUCUGUAUACCUCCGUCGUCAGCUUACCACGUGAGCGAAUCUCAGUAAGCUUAAUGCCCAUUACGCCAAUACGUCAGGUCAAGGUGCAGCAAACAAAAUGUGAAAGAAACGGGCUACACUCUCUAAUUUAGAAUACACGAAAAACUUUAUGAAACCAAGUUGGAAGGCGGAUUUAGCAGUAAAAAGAAAUCAAGGAGUUCUUUUUAAUAAGGCACUGGGGUGUGUACACACCGCCCGUCACCCUCUUCAAAGCCACUUCAUAGUAUUUAACCCCUAUAUGCACCCAAGAAGAGGUAAGUCGUAACAUGGUAAGUAUACCGGAAGGUGUGCUUGGAAACAA
rnacentral:ncRNA from 1 species